rnacentral:rRNA from 1 species
CCUACGGGAGGCAGCAGUGAGGAAUAUUGGUCAAUGGUCGGAAGGCUGAACCAGCCAAGCCGCGUGAGGGACGAAGGUGCCAAGUAUCGUAAACUUCUUUUGUCAGGGGACAAAAUCAGGCACGAGAGCCCGAACGAGGGUACUUGAAGAAAAAGCAUCGGCUAACUCCGUGCCAGCAGCCGCGGUAAUACGGAGGAUGCGAGCGUUAUCCGGAUUUAUUGGGUUUAAAGGGUGCGAAGGCGGACUGUUAAGUCAGCGGUAAAAGCCCGGGGCUCAACCCCGGCGAGCCGUUGAAACUGGAUGUCUUGAGUUGGAGAGAGGUAUGCGGAAUGCGCAGUGUAGCGGUGAAAUGCUUAGAUAUUGCGCAGAACUCCGAUUGCGAAGGCAGCAUACCGGCGGCGAACUGACGCUGAGGCACGAAAGCGUGGGUAUCGAACAGGAUUAGAUACCCUAGUAGUC